rfam:Flavobacterium succinicans strain DD5b FLB_contig000028, whole genome shotgun sequence.
GCCUAGCCCCGAUUGUAGUGAAAAUCCUCUUGUGCCGGGGUUCGGCAUAAGAGAUUGUAGCGAAAAGCGGGACGACUC